UACGUAGGCAGCGAGCGUUGUUCGGAGUUACUGGGCGUAAAGAGUGCGUAGGCGGUUUUCUAAGUUUGGUGUGAAAUCUCCCGGCUUAACUGGGAGGGUGCGCCGAAAACUGGAAGGCUUGAGUAUGGGAGAGGUAAGCGGAAUUCCUGGUGUAGCGGUGAAAUGCGUAGAUAUCUGGAGGAACACCGGUGGCGAAGGCGGCAUCCUGGACCGAUACUGACGCUGAGGAGCGAAAGCCAGGGGAGCAAACGGG
rnacentral:rRNA from 1 species